rnacentral:rRNA from 1 species
UGGGGGAUAUUGCACAAUGGGCGAAAGCCUGAUGCAGCGACGCCGCGUGGGGGAUGAAGGCCUUCGGGUUGUAAACUUCUUUUGCUCUGAACAAGGCGCACCAUGGGGUGUGUUGAGUGUAGGGGUUGAUUAGCGCCGGCUAACUACGUGCCAGCAGCCGCGGUAAUACGUAGGGCGCGAGCGUUGUCCGGAAUUAUUGGGCGUAAAGGGCUUGUAGGUGGCUGGUUGCGUCUGUCGUGAAAGCUCAUGGCUUAACUGUGGGUUUGCGGUGGGUACGGGCUGGCUUGAGUGCAGUAGGGGAGGCAGGAAUUCCUGGUGUAGCGGUGGAAUGCGCAGAUAUCAGGAGGAAUACCGGUGGCGAAGGCGGGUCUCUGGGCUGUUACUGACACUGAGGAGCGAAAGCAUGGGGAGCGAACAGG